rnacentral:rRNA from 1 species
UACGUAGGGUGCAAGCGUUGUCCGGAAUCAUUGGGCGUAAAGCGCGCGUAGGUGGCUUCGUAAGUCCGUUGUGAAAGUCAAAGGCUCAACCUUUGAACGCCGAUGGAUACUGCGGAGCUAGAGUACGGAAGAGGCGAGUGGAAUUCCUGGUGUAGCGGUGGAAUGCGCAGAUAUCAGGAGGAACACCAAUAGCGAAGGCAGCUCGCUGGGACGUUACUGACACUGAUGCGCGACAGCGUGGGGAGCAAACAGG